rnacentral:rRNA from 1 species
GACGAACGCUGGCGGCGUGCCUAAUACAUGCAAGUCGAACGAGAGCGACCGGUGCUUGCACUGGUCAAUCUAGUGGCGAACGGGUGAGUAACACGUGGGUAACCUGCCCAUCAGAGGGGGAUAACAUCCGGAAACGGAUGCUAAAACGCAAAGGUCCUCGAGCCGCCUGGCUUGAAGAGGAAAAGAGGCGCAAGCUUCUGCUGAUGGAAUGACCCGCGGUGCAUUAGCUAGUUGGUGAGGUAACGGCUCACCAAGGCCGUGAUGCAUAGCCGACCUGAGAGGGUGAUCGGCCACAUUGGGACUGAGACACGGCCCAAACUCCUACGGGAGGCAGCAGUAGGGAAUCUUCCGCAAUGGACGCAAGUCUGACGGAGCAACGCCGCGUGAGUGAAGAAGGUUUUCGGAUCGUAAAACUCUGUUGUUAGAGAAGAACAAGUGCUAGAGUAACUGUUAGCGCCUUGACGGUAUCUAACCAGAAAGCCACGGCUAACUACGUG